GUGGAGACCCGGACUGGCGCCGGCGCCAGCUGGAGGGAGACGCCCCCGGGCAAGAGGUGGCAUUUUUUUUCCUCCGGGGGGGGUCCCCGAGGUGGCCUCUGGUGAGGGGGAGGCGGUGGUCUGAGGUCUCCGUCUUCUAAGUCACCUGGAAGUGCUCCCCACUCACUUCUAGCCCGGAGAUCGGCUCUAUGGUUCGUGUGGGCCGGGCGCACAAGUCUUCCUCCCUCCCAUUGUACAGACUGGGGAGACGGAGGCUCGAAGGGAGCCCCGGGCCGAGGAGGGAGGUCCAGGACAAAGGCAUUUUGGGGGACCUAGACAGGUGCCGAGUACUGGGGGGACUCAACAGCGUCCUCCAGCCCUCUUCCCUGUUGGGCCCGAGGCUCCCGGGGUAGAUGUCCAGAGGGCCCCCAGCUUACGAUUCUUCAUCAACUCGUAAAAUGAGAUCGCCGCGGAGCUCGAGCCUAUUUGGCGUCUCCGGAGACUAGCAAGACCCUCUGAAAGACACCGCGUCCCCAGGGAUAAUCCCCCGUGUCCGGCAAAGCUGCCCCGCUCGAGCGCGAACCCUGGGACCCAGCGCGGGAGGCAGACCAGCAGCUGGCCGCUGGGCUGUGAACGCCAGGACCGAGCGGAAGCUUCCCGCCCGGCCGCGAUCGGUGCCGCGGCUCUCAGGGAAGUGGCUACGCGCGUCCCUCGGGAAAGCAGUGGACAGAUGAUUUGAACAGCCACUUCAUAAAAGAAGAUGUAUGAAUGCCCAGUAAGAACAUGACAAGAUACUCAACAUCACUUGUCUUUAAGGAACUGCAAAUUAAAGGCACUAUAUACUCACAAAAAAUGGCUAAAGUUAAAAAGACUGACAAUAACAAGCGUUGAAGACCAUGUGGAGCAACUGUAACUUUCAUACACUGUGGGAAUGCAAACUGGUAUAGCUACUUUGGAAAACAGUAUGGCAGUGUUUUAUAAUAUUAACCAUAAUUUAUCAUGUUACUCAGCAAAUCCACUCCUAGCCAUAG
rnacentral:lncRNA from 1 species